AGGAGGGAGGAUCUGCUGUUAUAAAGUCUCCGGUUUGUGACCUCUAACCUCUGAUCUUCCCACAGG
rnacentral:miRNA from 1 species